GGAAAAGAAGAGAAUGACAAGUACAACAAAAAUCCAGGCUCAUAACCUACAAAAAUUUGUAGAAGCAAGGGGUGAGUACCAAACCACACGGUACUCAGCAAGUAAACGGCUAAACACAAGCUAAGGGGAUGAAAUACGGGUACUCCUACCACCCCAACCGAACCUCCACAACUACAACCUGCAUAAACAUCAACCCAACCUAACAACUCACAGUUUACAUAGAACGAAACUCAACAAAAACAUAUAGACAAAUUACAUAUCCUCCACAACAACACUUUAACAAAUUACAUAUCCUCCACAACAACACUUUAACAAAUUAUAUAUCCUCAAUAACAAGCUCAGUAUUCAACAAUCACAAGUUCCGCAAAAAAGGCAAUCACUAGAUCAGCAAAACACAAUAUCAAGUUCACUAAUGAUAAGUAUGUGCAAUGUAAUGGAAUGCAAUGUCAAGUAUAAUGAUGCAUGUCUGACCUAGUGAUACACACCCGAUGUCUCUCAGUCCGGGACCCAUGGGGGACAUAUCUGUCCAUGCAUCUGUCGUGGCGCACGACACGACCCUCGAUAACAGUAACCAUCGCGGCGUGCGAUACGUCCCUCGAAAUAUAGUAUCCAUCGUGGUGCGCGAUACGUCCCUCGAAAUAUAGUAUCCAUCGCGGCGCGCGAUACGUCCCUCGAAAUGGUACAUCCUCUUUAAGUUAUCAUUCUUUCUCAAUGCACAUAACACUUUCACAACAAUGUCUCAGAAUAAUGCAAUGACAUGUCCACACAAAUAAUGAGGAGAUGACCAUUUUCAUAACAUUGCACAGUUCACAACCACACAAACAUGAAAUCACAUCAACAAUGAUUCAACAAGCCAUCAAACUUUUCUCAACACAUCACACAUAGAUAAUUAAUCACAUCGCCUUUUGUUAUCCCUUUUAUUUCAUCAUUAGAAUUAAUCAAUGUGGACAAGUCAACCCAUCACCAAUCCCGUUACUCCCAAACAUAUAUCACAAGGAAAUACACGCAUUCCAUACACUUAACAAGAGUUUAGAAAUCCACUUGCCUCAAUUAGUCAAACGAUCACUCCGGGGACUUGAGCCUUUCCUUUUCGUUAAACUUCCAACUCAAAGCAAUCUAUUCAAAUAUAUAUUCACAAUAAGGUUUCAUAACUAACAACACUUAUAUUAUUAUAUGUUUAACCUUGACCUAAAAACUCACUUAAAUUUAUAAUCAAGUUCGUAAAUCUUGAUACCAAUUAACAUGUUUGCUCUUUUAAUCUCCUUCAAAUUCCAAGUCUAGUUAAGUCAUAUCUUCUCCAAACACUACUACCCUAAUAGUUUCAAAAAAUAUAAUACACUCAACAUUCAAUUUUAUAUAUGUAUACCAAUAUAUAAGGGAUAACUCAAGUAUAAAGGGUCAUGAAUUCCGAUGAAUUUAACGUGCAAACUUAUAGAUAAUUUACUUUAUUUUUCCUUUUGUUGUUUUCUUGGACAAUUACCUUCAUUCUUUAAAAACAAGGAUUUAAUUUAUAACUGUAAAACAAUAAGAAAAUCAUGAAAUUUGUUUCACUUAGCAUUACACGUAUACAAAGCAACAUGAAAUAAAAUGUCAAACUUUUCCAGGCAUAGUAAUUAACUAAUCUGUAGGUUAACAUUAAUUCACAAUCAUCUAUUUUCCCACUAAAUCUUGAAUAAAAGAAACUUCCAACAAUAAUUAAAAAAAUUCUAUCUUAGAAAUCUAUAUUCAUUCAAUUCGAAUGAUUACCUUAAUUGCACAGGUGACUCUCAAAAUAUCGUUAUCGCUGCCCUUGCUACGGCCGAGAGUUCUCCUCAAGUUCCUUUUUGUUUGUCUCUCAAUUUAUUAUAUUUUAAAUUGGCAAACCCUACUACUACUUAUUUUAAUAUAAAUGGGUCAAGUAGUAUAGGUCAUUAAAUAAAUUAGGGACUUAGUUCAUUAGUCACAAAUUAACUUAAUUAUUCAAAAAUAACCACCAAUUAAUUCACUCUAGUUAGAUGAAUGUUCAAUUUUUUUUUUUAAAAAAACUUCUGGGUUAUUACAUUAUCCACCACUAAAAACAUGUUCGUCCUCGAACAUAAAGAAGAAAAAGGAAGAAUAACCAACAUUACCAUAAGUCUAAAUUAUGACCUACCAGUCAAUGUUCGUCUCUCUAGGUGAGCUAAUUCUUAAGACCAUUCCCUCACGAUCAACUACUAAGAAAUGAACAUUCAAAUUAAACUUUGGGAGAUCUAUAUAUCAAGAGUGAUUAUCAAUACACAAACUAACAAUGAACUCAAUCUAAAUUGAAACCUACUAGACCCUAACACAACCAUUAGGAUAAAUGUUUUCCCACAUAUAUUCUGAAUCGAUACCAACUACUACUAGAAGUGAACUAUAGCCAACAACCACACUCAUAACGCACAAACCAUCACCGAUUAUAUCAAGAUUUCCUUUCCAUAACACAAUCUCGUCACAAGCUUAAGUAAAAAAAAAUUAUCUUUAGACAUCGAUUAAUCAUCAAGAGAGGAUCAACAUAUCCAAACCAAAGAAGAACAAUAUCAAGUAAACACCAACAAAGGAUACACUUCAAAAUGCUGAACCUCUAGCAAUACUCAUAGACAAUUGUAACUAUUCAUAGUAGCUCUUAUAUAAGUUCUUAUACGCAAGAUUGUGCAGGUAGAAUCACUAGUAUACUACAACUAUCCCAAACAACACCAAAUCUUCUAUAACUAAAAUUAACAAGUUUAACCAAGGAUGCCACCCUACCAAGAGAAAAUCACAGGAUCGGUACACCCGAUCCACCACUAGGAACUCAUCCAUGGAUGUAAAAAAAACGUGGGCAUAUGCAAUGAAUCAUACUCCAAAUCAUGUCCGAAACGAAGUAGGUGGUCAACUUAAGAAUAUACGGAAUCAAGGUCGAAUAACACUAGAUACUUUCUCCAUAACUCGCAUAUCAAUAUUUUCAUUCAUCUGACUACAUCCCUCAAUUUAUUUAUUUUUUAAAAGUUUUUUCCACCCAAAAUCAACCAGUCUGAUCUCCAUUACAAUUUUACACAUGUUGGAUUUGCCAAACCCUGCAUACUUCUCACAGUACUCAAUCAAAGCCAACACUAUUAAUAUUAACAAAUAUCAUAACCACACCAACCAUUUACCUUACUUUCACACAGUCAUUAGUAUCACAUCCUCCUUAGCAAGCACAUUGUAGUCUCCAAGACUUUGAACCAUGGUUUCUUAUCUUUUCAUUUAGCGUCCCAUAAUAGAUGUAAGUCACACUUAAUGUCAACUUCACCUAAACUUUCACAUACCAUUUUCAACCACCAUCAUUUACCUCAUGCAAUAACUCCAAGAAACCCUUGAUCACUCCAAUAUUUAUGUAUACAAUAAUCUCAUAACCUCUACUCAUCAUCAUAUGACUAUGUAACACAUUAUAACAAUCUAUCUUGUCUCAUCAACAUAGUACUUUAAUCUCCCCCAAUCCUCAUUAACCAUGUAAAAUUGUAGGUCCACACUAUUUAACAUCCAUUUGUUACCUAUCACAUUCUGAACAAUCUACCUCGACAUAACCAUAUAUAAUCUUCCACACGUCGUUUAUUGUAACCCAACCAAAACUUAAUAUUUAGAAAAGUUAAUAAUAAGCCCAUAGUCACAUCUCAUAGUCAUAUCUAAACUCAAAGGCGAAAUCACUAUAACCAUCACCUCCGAAUACAGUGUUUGUACGAGAGGUUUUAUUGUUCCUUUGCCUUUCUUAAAAUCUUCCCAUGACGAAAAUUUCAAAUAACUUUAACUCUUCAAUACACCAUAAUUUUUUUUUUCUUUUUUGCUAACUCAUUUACUAGUCUUAUAUUUUUGACCAGCAAUAUGGGAAACCUUAGGUAUAACAAUCAAAAGUAACCAAAUGUACUACUCAAAUUUUAAGUCCUCCUAUAUGCUUAAUACUCAAUGUGAUAAAUCAUUUCUUACCUUACCAAUUCAUUCCUUGACAAGAUACACUAUCAAAAAUCUAAACUCACCAUGUAAACUUGAUGUUUUGAUCCCAACCAUGUAAUACAAUUCCAUUGUCUAUCAAUAUUAGCUCACAUCUGAAAUUUUAUAAAUUUAUGAUCAUAGCUUACCAUAUAUCGCCUCUCUAGCGACCUUAUAAUAUCCUUUGCUUAAAAAUCCAAUGGUACCCGUUACCAAAUUCGAAACUAUAAAAGAACUUAUCACCACACUCGAGUCGAACUGUGUAGGAUUCUUUCUCAAUUCUUACCCAAUAUCUAUAUUAUUAUUUAUUAUUUUUUAUCAAUCUAAUGAACGUAUGACACUAUUACCAUAAUCAAAAUGAAACAGAUGAAAUCGCGUAUCCUUGAACUAAAUUCUCAACUCUCUAAAGAUAUUAUCUUUGUCCUUUAUAAUUAUAGUAAAUAUCCUUUUUCUCAAUUGUCUCUUUCCAAUGACUAAAAUACUUUCCACUAAUUCUUUUCCAUUUAUGACUCUAGCUUCUUUCAAUUCUUUUCAAGCGAAAUUUUCAACACAUCAUACAACUUUUCAUACAACUACAUUGUUCAUCAAAUAGUGAAAAACCACAACCUGAACAUAUCAAUAUCAUACCAAAGAUCCACCACUAAAAGCUUCCUUAUAAAUAAUGCUUAACAUAUCCAUCCGUAUUAACAAGCUAGUUGGUUUCUCAAAUAUGAAUUCAACACCACAUCUUACCAUAUGAGCAUGUAAUACAAUAUAUAACUCCUUAAGUAGUUAGUAUUUACACUUAACAUCAACGUGUUCAUUUUCAUAUACCACUAGCACCACAUUGUGAAGACUUUUAAAUCCACCACUAGAACACAUCAUACCUAUAGAGAAGAUCAUAUCCAAACAGGUCACACAUUUCUACCAUCAAAUAGAUGUUAAGUAUUAUCAUAGUUCCAUAUCUAGCCCAAGCUAUAUGAAUCCUUUCAUAGUUCAGGUCAAUAUCAAAAGUAGCACACUCCAUAACUCCAACCAAGUAAGCAUCGAUACUACUAUAGUAGAAAUUCUAACCUUAAUUGGUGCAUCAUUUUCUAAGAAUUCCAUUCAUGUUAUGAUAACUUUACUGAUUAUAGUUUCCAAAGUUACAACUCAAUUAUCUAGUCAUCCCUUUAAUCACCCCACUUCCAAUUGUUAACCAUCUAAUAUCGUAUAUACCACACAAGUACUAAUCACUUUACUAGGAUAACAAAACUUACAUAGCCCCUUAAUUUUUUUAAUUUUUUUUUAAAUUUUUUUUAAUAUUCAAAAUAUAACCACAAAUCCUUUUCAUAAGUAUAUCACUUCCACUUUAAUACCAUAUCUAACAUCAAACCAAUACACGACAUGCCAAUGAUUCACAAAGGGAACUACGCACGAGUCAUCACAUAAAUGAGAGCGAAUGGAGUGAAGCGAUAAGAAUCAAAAUGGGACCAAGUACGCACAAUAGAAUCCAAGAAGUGAAAAUAUUUUCCUAGAAGUCAUUACAGCCUCUCGAAGAUAGGUACAGACGUCUCCGUACCGAUCAUCCAGACUCUAUUUAGACUCGACUUGUACACACGUGAGACCUAUGAACCUGGGCUCUGAUACCAUUUUGUCACGACCCAAAAAUGGGCGUGAUGACACUCGUCUUAUCCCACCAAGACAAGUCAGCCUAAAACUCAACCAUUACAAUAAAGUGCGGAAUCAAAAUAUAAGUAACUUAAUAAAACCCCCAAAACCUGGUAGUCACGUGUACAAGCCUCUAAGGUAUUACAAUUGAUUCAAAAGAAAAACUCAAGUCUCUAAUGAACUUGUUUCUAGAAUAGAACAAGAUCAUAAUUAAGGAGAAGAAAGUCUGCUGCGAUGGAAACAGCUACCUGACCAAUCUCCAAGAAGCCUCGGAAAAGAAGAGAAUGACAAGUACAACAAAAAUUCAGGCUCAUAACCUACAAAAAUUUGUAGAAGCAAGGGGUGAGUACCAAACCACACGGUACUCAGCAAGUAAACGGCUAAACACAAGCUAAGGGGAUGAAAUACGGGUACUCCAACCACCCCAACCGAACCUCCAUAACUACAACCUGCAUAAACAUCAACCCAACCUAACAACUCACAGUUUACAUAGAACGAAACUCAACAAAAACAUAUAGACAAAUUACAUAUCCUCCACAACAACACUUUAACAAAUUACAUAUCCUCCACAACAACACUUUAACAAAUUAUAUAUCCUCAAUAACAAGCUCAGUAUUCAACAAUCACAAGUUCCGCAAAAAGGCAAUCACUAGAUCAGCAAAACACAAUAUCAAGUUCACUAAUGAUAAGUAUGUGCAAUGUAAUGGAAUGCAAUGUCAAGUAUAAUGAUGCAUGUCUGACCUAGUGAUACACACCCGCUGUCUCUCAGUCCGGGACCCAUGGGGGACAUAUCUGUCCAUGCAUCUGUCGCGGCGCACGACACGACCCUCGAUAACAGUAACCAUCGCGGCGUGCGAUACGUCCCU
rnacentral:lncRNA from 1 species